rnacentral:rRNA from 1 species
UGGGGAAUAUUGGACAAUGGGCGAAAGCCUGAUCCAGCCAUGCCGCGUGUGUGAAGAAGGUCUUCGGAUUGUAAAGCACUUUAAGUUGGGAGGAAGGGCAUUAACCUAAUACGUUAGUGUUUUGACGUUACCGACAGAAUAAGCACCGGCUAACUCUGUGCCAGCAGCCGCGGUAAUACAGAGGGUGCAAGCGUUAAUCGGAAUUACUGGGCGUAAAGCGCGCGUAGGUGGUUUGUUAAGUUGGAUGUGAAAUCCCCGGGCUCAACCUGGGAACUGCAUUCAAAACUGACUGACUAGAGUAUGGUAGAGGGUGGUGGAAUUUCCUGUGUAGCGGUGAAAUGCGUAGAUAUAGGAAGGAACACCAGUGGAGAAGGCGACC